UUGUUUGUUUCAAUUGGCCAAACAGUUUCAUAAAUUAUACCGUGGAUAAUUGGGACCGUUUUUUCCAUGGCGAUUUUUAAUUUAUUAACCUUUCCAAACGUAUGCCGUGCCUGUUUGCAGCCGCUUCCUCCGGACCAGAUGGCGUCACUCGACGAGCAUCGGUCACUGUUCGACGGAACGAUUGAUAAAUUCCUGCAGGAAAUAACAAUAAAGGUUCCGGAUAUGGUACAACCAUACCUACCUUCCGCAAUCUGUUAUGCCUGUUUGGGAGUGAUGGAGUUGCACUAUAAAUACCGCGAAAAAAUGAGAUGUUUGCAUCAGUUUAUAGUCGCACUUGUGCACGUGAAAUUAGGUGAUAAAUCGCAAAUGAAACAGCUAUUCGAUACCCAUCUCGACCAGUUGGGGAUAUUGUUCCGCGACUUGGAUAUUUGCAACACGGACAUUCCCCGCGUGGAAGACCUGUUGGAGGAGUACGACCAGUAUGCGAUAGCAUCGAUGCACAUCGAAGACCAGCCGUAUAAAUAUGAAAUUAUCGAUGAAAACUAUACAUCAACAGUUAAGGAAGAGGAAUGCAACGAAUCAGACACAUCGCUCUUCGUUGUUCUGUGCAACGACGAAACCGAAUCUGCAGUCUCUCAGCCGUUGCCAAGAGAUUCCGAUUUUGAAGAAUAUGCAGUUUUUUCAGCUGAUGAACAAAUUUCAGACCUAGAAAAUCAACGCGAGGAAAAAGCUAUCUUAAGCCUAGAGACUAAAACCGAUGGUAAACAUCAACACAACCAAUCUCAGUUGGAUGUCAGUGGAACAAACGAAUCUUCCGACGAAAAAGUUGGAACUGACGAUAGCAAUUGCGCCAAAGGUGAGCUGGAAAACCCUGCUGUUAAACGGCGAAAGACACGGGCAACCCGUUACCAACUAAAUGCCAAAAUCGAACAACUUCUCUGUACGCAAUGCUCGUAUAAAACAUACUACGCUGUAGCGUAUGAGUUGCAUCUUAACAAGCAUAAAGCAAAUGAAGGUAAGACGGGUCACCUCUGCUCCCAUCCUUACUGUAUGAUGCUGUUCGACACGAAGGAGGAAUUAAAAAGGCAUAAAAUUGAAAAUACCCCUCAUUCAUACGUUUGCGAGCUGUGUGGAACGGUCCUAAAGCAUCGCGCCUCCUACGACGUUCACCUGGAGCGGCAUGUUGGCAUAACGCACUUUCAGUGUCCGUACUGUUCGUCGACGUUCUUCACACAUACGGAAACAAUUGCCCACGUUGCGACCAUACACCUUAGCGAGGACCGUGAAAAGUGUCAGCAAUGUGGUGCAAUGUUUAAAAGUAGGAAAUUGCUUAACCAGCACCUCGAAUCACAUUCCACGGAGCGCAAUUAUCAUUGCAAAGAAUGCCAAACAUCGUUCAAAUCACAACACCAACUGAAUCGACAUAUAAAAACGGUUCAUCAGAAUGUACGUUUCAACUGUGACCACUGUGAUGCGUCCUACGGUCGUCGCGACAAACUUCGGAUGCAUAUGGAGAAAUUUCAUCAGAUACAAUCCUUCUUCGUGUGCACUAUUUGUGUGCGUUCUUUGCCUACAAACGAAGCUCUCCAGGAACAUAUGGACCGUCAUUCAAACCCAAAAUAUCUGGAAUGUGGCACUUGCCUGCUAGUAUGCCUUACGCCCGAGACGUUCGAAAAACAUAUUUGUAUCACCUACCAGGAUGAUUAUGUGUGCUGCGGGCGUGAUUUUAAGAAUCACUUCCUCUACAACAAACACAUGGCGCGUGGCCAUGGCAUCAAAGUAAAUGCUAGGGUUCGGCCGGAUACGUCCGUACCGAUCGGUGGCAAGGCACGAAGAUUCCGGCGUCCACGCUGUUCGGUGACUACCUAGCCCGCUAGCAUGACCAACAACAAAUCUGUGGAAAAUGUAAUAUUACUUUUCAAAUCCCGACGCAGUAUUUAUUUGGGAAUAAUGUAGACAAUCGAUUUCGGCCGAAAAAGCUGUGGAUUAGCAUCUAUGCAAACCGUACUUUCCACAUGAGGGGUGGAAUUAAGUCUGCGGGGUCUCUGAUUAAGUCUGAUUAAGGGUAUUAAGUCAUGAGUGGUCUCCGAGCGGAAUUAAGAAAACAAAUGUAAAGGUGGAUCUUGAAAUUAGUUUUAUUUAAUGAAACAAAAUACAACAUAAAAGUGAUGUAAAGAAA